GACGAACGCUGGCGGCGUGCUUAACACAUGCAAGUCGAACGGAAAGGCCCUGCUUUUGUGGGGUGCUCGAGUGGCGAACGGGUGAGUAACACGUGAGUAACCUGCCCUUGACUUUGGGAUAACUUCAGGAAACUGGGGCUAAUACCGGAUAGGAGCUCCUGCUGCAUGGUGGGGGUUGGAAAGUUUCGGCGGUUGGGGAUGGACUCGCGGCUUAUCAGCUUGUUGGUGGGGUAGUGGCUUACCAAGGCUUUGACGGGUAGCCGGCCUGAGAGGGUGACCGGCCACAUUGGGACUGAGAUACGGCCCAGGCUCCUACGGGAGGCAGCAGUGGGGAAUAUUGCACGAUGGGCGGAAGCCUGAUGCAGCAGCGCCGCGUGCGGGAUAACGGCCUUCGGGUUGUAAACCGCUUUCGCCUGUGACGAAGCGUGAGUGACGGUAAUGGGUAAGGAAGCACCGGCUAACUACGUG
rnacentral:rRNA from 1 species